rnacentral:lncRNA from 1 species
CAACAUGUAGUGUGCUCUCGGUCUUCCAAUUUCUAGGAGCAGAUACAAUAAUUGGCUUAUAGCCAAACAAAUGUUGAUGUAAAGAAGAGAGGGAACUUAGCUCUCAUGUAAACACUAAGCUAGGUACAGAUGCAUAUGCAGUGGUGUGUUCAUACACUAAGGGCCUUUUUAGAUUUGAAAUUUUUUGGCCCAAAGAGAAAUUUUUUUGAGGAAUUGGGGCCUGAGAACUAAACGGGGCCAAAAAAUUUUGGGGCUGCAACUGUACACGCACUCCCAUGGAAGUCCACCAAUAACAACUGCAACUGCAUGCAGCUCAAGUUUUAGUAAUGGAUGCAGCUAACUACACGUAACCAUACAUGCAUACUGCUAGCAAUUAUUCUCUCAUACUUAGCAAUUAUAUUCUCUCAUGUGAUCUCCUCUCUUUCUCUUUAGAAACUAACUACUAAAACUAUAACGGGGAAUUCUCUAGUCUAGUUAAAAAAAGCUUAAGCACAACAUGUAGUGGGCCCUCGUCGCGCGCCGAAUACAAUUCCAAUACAAGUUCAUAAUUUGAUAAUAGCUUACCAUGAUUGCCUCAUGGUGAGUCUACUGUCCUGGUCACAUCUUUUGAGGCCGGGAUCAGCACCUUUUAGAAGCCGUAUGGGACUAAAACAAAACAUACGGAAUACUACAACCUAAACAGCCUAAAAAAAAGAUUAUUUUUGAGAAUCGCCUUGUAUAUGUAGGAGAAAAACAAAUGGAUCAAAGGAGCUGGCACGCGGCGAAGGGCAUAAUAAUAGCCCGGUUCUUGUUGCGGACGUGUCUUUUUAUUGGGUCUUGGGCCGCGGCUCUCUCUCCACAGCACAACAGAUGUUGUUGCAGUUUCUAAAAAAAAAUGUUGAUGCAUGCUCAUCGAAGCGCGAAUUGUUAUUCAUUUAUAAUAAGGUGAUACUAAAUUAUCAUUAUGCAUAGUAUGUUUAGAUGUUCCAUAUGUCCUUUGAUUUUUCUAAACUAUUACAUACGUGAUGCAUAUUUAAUUUUCAUAUAGUACACAUUUUUUAUUUUUUUCUCUAUAUAUCAUAACAUUGGUUAUUCAUUUUUUAUUUCCUUUCUUCUUCUUUGUUAUUUUAACCUGAUUAAUUAUCUCUCUUUGCAUCCAAAUUAUAAGACAUUUUGCAUUUUCUAAAUACAUUGUUUUAUCUAUGUAUCUAGUAGAAAUAGUGUAUAUCUAGGUGCAUAGCAAAAACUAAAUAUCUAGAAAAAUCAAAACGUCUUAUAAUUUGGAACUCCCUCCGUUGAAUGUAAGUCUCAUUUUAUGUGAAUUCAAAAAAUUUUAAGUUUGAUUUAAUUUAUAGAAGGUAUUAUAUCUACAUUUAGGUCUCCAACUAGGUUUAUUAUAAAAUAUAUUUUAUGACUAAUCUAAUCUAUACCUAAUAACAAAGAGGCAAAAUUUCAGUCCACCUUAAAUUUUUAUCCUACCUAUAAUCAUAAAUUGACUCGGUCUUGGCCGUCAGCUAAAAAAAUUUCCGAUCCCGUUUUUAUCAAUGAAAGACGUCUCAUCGACAAUUCUUUUUUUCUUUUUCUGUUUCUACUUUCCUACAUGAGGUAUGUACAUGACUUUUUCUUUCUACUUUUUUCUUUCAUCUUUUCUUAUAUAAGUAAAAACAAUAAAUAACAAAUAUAGUACUAUAAAUCUUUUAACUCUUUAUCCUUCUAUAAUCUAAUAAAUAAUCUAUAUAACUUAGAUAUUUUAUCAUCCAAUAAUCUAUAUCUAUAUGCUUAUAUAAAUUAGAACAACUUGAGUAUAAUAUUCGUAUCGAGUUCAAUUAAAGACGUAUUGGGUUUCGUCUGACCAUGUACUUACAGACGUAGUCUAUAUACUAAAUCUUUGAAUUCUUUAUCCUUUUAUAGUCUAAUAAAUAAUUCACGACUUACAUAAUUUAUCAUCCAAUAAUCUAUAUUUGUAUGGUCAUAUAAGUAAGAACAACUUGAGUAUAGUAUUAGUAUGGAGUUGAAUUAAAGACAUAUUGGUUCCGCCUAGCCAUGUACUGACAGACACAGUCCAUAUAGCUACCGUGAACAAUAGUUACAAGUCAAUUGAUGUACCUGUUUUCCUACAAACUCGGCGUUAAUAACUACAAGUCAAUUGGUGUACAAGUUCAUCUGACUAGAAUCCAUUUAAAACACUUACCAUGUUUCAAAGUUUUUGGUCCAAUCAAAAGCAAAUUAAUCUAUAUUUAUAAAGCAUAGAGGAUUUAAUGAUAUGUCCUGCUAUUCUAAGGCUCAUAAGUUAGAGCAACGUAUCUAGCUAGCCAUAGUUCGGUGCAUAGUGCGAUCACAAAACAAAUAUGAACAUAUAUUAUGAGAAUCUAAUCCUGAUGUGCUCAUGCAAAUUACCAUAUAUCAAGAUAUGCUAGGGAGUCUAGAUCCUAGAUGAAUUAAUAUGAUUAUUAAUAAGUCUAAGCUACAAGCUAGCAAACUGAGUAUGUAAUAUACAUCCCAUUGCAACACACGGGCACUAAAGAGGCAAAAUUUCUUGUCACCUGAAAUUUUCGUCCAACCUAAUCUUGAAGUGGCUCAUACUCGUCAUCGAAUACGAAAAACCGUGUUCGUGUUUUUCUCGGUGAACCAUCCAUUGUUUCCGUCUCUUUCUCAUUUCUUUUUUUUGGUUCCUCUUUCCACCAUUAUGUGACUUUUUCUCUUUUUAUCUCCCAUUAUUUCUUAUAUUAAAGAAUAAAUAUAUUAUGAGUUUCCUAUUUUUUUAACUUUGCAAAAUGCGCUCACGCCCUUUGUGUACCAUAUGUGAGUCCAAACUUAUGGUUGGUGCUCAUACAAGUAAACAUAACUCACAUUUAUUAUAUUUUUUAUCUUCCAUUUUUUCUUAUAAACAAAAAAUAAUAAAUAAUAAAUAUAUUAUGAGUCUCCUUUUUUUACUUUCCAAAACGCGCUCACGCCCUCCAUGUCCCAUAUGAGAGUUUGGACUAAUGAUCCAUGCUCAUACAAAUAACUACAACUCGUAUUUAGCAACCCACGGCACAAUAGCUAGCACUAAACAAAAUUUGUUAAUGGUCUACGUUGGAUAGCUGAGACGCGCAAAACCUACAUAAUAUCGGCGUCACUGAGUACUUUAUCGACACAUUUUUAGGUCUUAUUAUUUUCUUUUCCUGAGUAUAGUUUGAUAUAUUUUUUAUAUUUUUUUGUAUUUCUAUUUUUCCUAGCGAAAACUCAGACAUGAUGGACCGCGCGUUUGUGUCCUGGCAAGAGAAAGAAGAGCCACCUAACAUUGGGGGGUCAUAGUUCUAGGAGAGAAUUCACAGACAGACAGACGUAUAAGAGGAUUGGGGUUGAUGGUCACAACAUGGCGAUGCGAUGAUGAUGGUCGAGACAACAUGGGAACCACUUGUCGGGAUGAUGAGAGUUUGCGUAGGGCUAGCGGCGGGGCGUCGUGCUAGAGUGGUAGAUAGGAGCCCUGUGGUUAGGGUAGGACGUCGUGGGAGGUUGGUGGGAUAGUGAUCCUGUGUAAGGUAACGACUGUGGGUGCUAGAAGCCCAAUGGAGAGGGCGGCAGCUGAGGGGUGCAUGAGGUAGUGGAUGCAAGCGAGAGCAGAAUUGGAGGCGGCGCCGGUAAGGAGGAAGAAGGAUCAUGCAAUUCCCAACCACACGACCCUUCUUCCGUAGCAACACACAGGCAUAUUUCUUACUGAUACUUAUUACGCAUCAUAAACAUCAAUAUUUUUUAUAUCGACGCUGCUAGCGCCCGGACGUCCAGCAUCAACAGCGCGUCCGGACGCCAGGCUCUCCACUCGCACCAUACAAAAAAAAGUCAACUUGGCCCACGUGGAGGACUACCCUCGUCUGCUGCCCCGCACAAGGAGCCUGUUCCCCACCCCCCACGAGCACGGGAUCCGCCCUGCCCUCACUUCGCCGCCCCUAGCACAUCUGCCCGCCGCCACUCGUACCUAUAGAAACCGACCCCCGCCCCAUGCCCGCACAGAGAAAAACGACCACCACGUGCACAGAUCUGUUCGCCCACAAACUCUGCAACCCAGCACCUCUCACCCUACCACCAACUCACCACCAUAGUAUGUCCUCUAGCUGCAACAAAUGAAAAAAAACUAUUGCAAAUAUUGAAGGACAUCUAAAAUGCAAAAAAAAACUGCUAAAACAAACGGAAAAAGCUAUUAAAACAUCGAAAAAACAUCUAAUGCAACAAAACAAAAAUAUGAACUGCGACAAAAAAAAAGUCUAUUGCAACAUUCAAAAACAUCUACUGCAACAUUUAGAAAAAGCUAUUACAACAUCUCAAGCACUACUAAUGCAACAUCAGAAAAAACACCUGUUGCAACAAAAAAAAUCUACUAUAACAUCGGGAGAGAAUCUGCUGCAACAAUGAAAAAAAGCUAUUACAACAUCUCAAGCACUAAUAAUGCAACAUUAGAGAAAACACCUGUUGCAACAAAAAAAUUACUGCAACAUCAGGGGAGAAUCUGCUGCAACAACGAAAAAAGCAAAAAUGAAACAUUUCGAAGAAUUGCUCUGCAACAUCAGAGAAACACAUGUUCCAACAACAAAAAAAGAUAUUGUUGCAACAUUCCACAUCAUCUGUUGCAACACUAAAAAUGAAUCAUUGCAAAACAACAACGAGAUCUGACUCGCUGGAACACUAGCUACCACCAAACCCUUGGAUCUAGAAGGGGAAGAAGAAGAGGAGGAGGAGGCGCAGGAAGAGAGAGCAGAUCUAGAUCCAGUGAGAGAAAGGAGGGAGAGAAAGACCUCAGAUCUAAAUCCCUCUCUACCUAUCUCGUCGGAGCCACAUCGUCGUCCUCGUCUCCAGAGACAUGGAGGUCACAAUGCACGAGGAUGAGAGAGCAGGGAGGGAGAGAAAAGCUUAGAUCUAGAGGAGGAAGGUUCAGAUCUAGAUCCCGAGGAGGAAGACUAGACCUUAGAUCCAGAUCCCUCUACGACCUACCUCAUCAGAGCCGCCGCC